UACGGAGGGGGCUAGCGUUGUUCGGAAUUACUGGGCGUAAAGGGCGCGUAGGCGGCCACCGCAAGUCAAUUGUGAAAUCUCCGGGCUUAACUCGGAAAGGUCAACUGAUACUGCGGGGCUAGAGUGCGGAAGGGGCAACUGGAAUUCUCGGUGUAGCGGUGAAAUGCGUAGAUAUCGAGAGGAACACCUGCGGCGAAGGCGGGUUGCUGGGCUGACACUGACGCUGAGGCGCGAAAGCUAGGGGAGCGAACGGG
rnacentral:rRNA from 1 species